UCAACCAUAGUUCGCUUUGGAAACUGUCAAACUUGAGUGCAGAAGGGGAGAGUGGAAUUCCAUGUGUAGCGGUGAAAUGCGUAGAUAUAUGGAGGAACACCGGUGGCGAAAGCGGCUCUCUGGUCUGUAACUGACGCUGAGGCUCGAAAGCGUGGGGAGCGAACAGGAUUAGAUACCCUGGUAGUCCACGCCGUAAACGAUGAGUGCUAGGUGUUGGAUCCUUUCCGGGAUUCAGUGCCGCAGCUAACGCAUUAAGCACUCCGCCUGGGGAGUACGACCGCAAGGUUGAAACUCAAAGGAAUUGACGGGGGCCCGCACAAGCGGUGGAGCAUGUGGUUUAAUUCGGAGCAACGCGAAGAACCUUACCAGGUCUUGACAUCCCGAUGCUAUUUCUAGAGAUAGAAAGUUACUUCGGUACAUCGGUGACAGGUGGUGCAUGGUUGUCGUCAGCUCGUGUCGUGAGAUGUUGGGUUAAGUCCCGCAACGAGCGCAACCCCUAUUGUUAGUUGCCAUCAUUCAGUUGGGCACUCUAGCGAGACUGCCGGUAAUAAACCGGAGGAAGAUGGGGAUGACGUCAAAUCAUCAUGCCCCUUAUGACCUGGGCUACACACGUGCUACAAUGGUUGGUACAACGAGUUGCGAGUCGGUGACGGCAAGCUAAUCUCUUAAAGCCAAUCUCAGUUCGGAUUGUAGGCUGCAACUCGCCUACAUGAAGUCGGAAUCGCUAGUAAUCGCGGAUCAGCACGCCGCGGUGAAUACGUUCCCGGGCCUUGUACACACCGCCCGUCACACCACGAGAGUUUGUAACACCCGAAGUCGGUGAGGUAACCUUUUGGAGCCAGCCGCCUAAGGUGGGAUAGAUGAUUGGGGUGAAGUCGUAACAAGGUAGCCGUAUCGGAAGG
rnacentral:rRNA from 1 species